rnacentral:rRNA from 1 species
AACGAACGCUGGCGGCAUGCCUAACACAUGCAAGUCGAACGAACCCUUCGGGGUUAGUGGCGCACGGGUGCGUAACGCGUGGGAAUCUGCCCUUUGCGUCGGAAUAACAGUUAGAAAUGACUGCUAAUACCGGAUGAUGUCUUCGGACCAAAGAUUUAUCGGCAAGGGAUGAGCGCGCGUAGGAUUAGGUAGUUGGUGGGGUAAAGGCCUACCAAGCGGACGAUCGUUAGCUGGUAUGAGAGGAUGAUCAGCCACACUGGGACUGAGACACGGCCCAGACUCCUACGGGAGGCAGCAGUGGGGAAUAUUGGACAAUGGGCGCAAGCCUGAUCCAGCAAUGCCGCGUGAGUGAUGAAGGCCUUCGGGUCGUAAAGCUCUUUUACCAGGGAUGAUAAUGACAGUACCUGGAGAAUAAGCUCCGGCUAACUCCGUGCCAGCCGCCGCCGUAAUAC